rfam:Hordeum vulgare subsp. vulgare, WGS project CAJW01000000 data, contig: morex_contig_2550720
AAAGUACUCCCUCCGUCCGAAAUUACUUGUCGUAAAAAUUUAUUUAAAUGAAUGUAUCUACAACUAAAAUACAUCUAGAUACAUCUAUUCCUUCGACGCGUAUUUUCGAACAAAGGGAGUAGUAU